AUGGGAAUUUCGGAUUUUACACAGGUGGUUGGAUGUUACACUCUGGAAAUGGAAGGAAGAAGGCGGUGACCGGCUCGGACAGCUUUUCAGAGUAGACACAGGGCAGGAGGACCUCAUCCCGGAUAAAGCCAGUCUUCACAGACUGGCUGCUGGCUGCAGGACAACAGGACAAGUGAGUAACAGUUUACCUGUGCACAGCUCCACCACAGCUCUUUGGUUUAGCACAUUUGGUGACCUCAGUAACACAGCAGAAUCAACACUUACUGGAUGCUCUUCUGCUGGAGGACAAAGUAAAAAAACUCAGCAAAAACUCAUGAAUAUCUCCAAACAUACAGAGGCCUGUCACUUUUUACUAUCAUUAAAAUCCUCCACAUAAUGAUGGAAAGACUUGAGCUCCAAUCCUGGAUGCUGGCUUUUUCAUUGCUGCUGCACUGCCUACUGAAUACUCAGUGCUGUGAUGAAUCUGAAUGACUGUGAGUGACUGACCUAAAAACAUCAGCACCUCACAGCAAAGGUCAUUCAUUCGAACAGGAGCAGUUCUUUACUGCUAUCUCUUAGAAGCUGCUCAACUCUAAAUCUUUGUUGUUGGACUUUAAACGGCCUCAAAGACCGCAGACUACGAACACAUUUUUCAAACUUGAAUCCAAGUCCUUCAAAGUUCCUCCUACGCUUUGAUUUUCAGACUUGACUUCAUUGUAACUGAAAUCCAUACAGAUUCUUUCAUUAUAUUCUUAUUAUAAACUGAAUUAUUUGUAAACUGAGUAUGAGAUGAGGUACACUACAGAUGAGAUGAGGUACACUACAUUCCCAAAAGUAUUCAACUGUCUGCCUUUUAAGCCUUUUAAGUUGAGUGACAGCCCAUCCCUAAUCCAUAUAACAUUCUGGCAGGGUCCUGGAUCUGAGCGACCCAGGGUCCCUGAGUAGUUAUGGACAUGUUGAUUUUUGGUGCUGCUGUCCCUCGUCUUCCUGGUUUGUGGGUUUGUGUCUGUGUGUGUGUGUGUGUACUGAGCACUGGUCUACAGGAGUCUUCAGGCCUGGUGGGUGUGCCCUGCCAGGUGGCUGGCCACUCGUGAGGAAAUGAUCACACACACCUGCAGCUGAUCAACCAUCAUCGAGGGAGCUACAAAGCAGUGUGGCUGAGAGCUCCUCGACGCUGGAUUGUUGAGUGACUUCCCGAGUAUUUGUGAAAACGAGGAAGCAGCUGACGCACUGUACACAGGGAACGGGGACACGGAGCAUGGGUGUAGGGAGAAGACACGGAACGGGAGUCGGGAACACACUGGGGAUUUAUUGUUGUGUAUUUGUUACAUCACUGUAAAUAAACGCACUGCUUGCAUUGAAAAGUCCUGCAUUUUGGGCCCUACUUCCCCACACGCCGAAGGUGGUCAGCGCUAACCGUGACACAUUGGCUGUAUCCCAAUUCAGGGUCUGCAGCCUUAAAGUACGCAGCCUCAACAGUCCUCAAGGGCCGCGUACUCAAAGACCGCUAAGGCCGGAAGUGCGAGGCUUGUAGGCUUGUGAAAUGGGAC